UACAGAGGGUGCGAGCGUUAAUCGGAAUUACUGGGCGUAAAGCGUGCGUAGACGGUUACAUAAGUCGGGUGUGAAAGCCCCGGGCUCAACCUGGGAAUUGCAUUCGAGACUGCGUAGCUAGGGUGCGGAAGAGGGAAGCGGAAUUUCCGGUGUAGCGGUGAAAUGCGUAGAUAUCGGAAGGAACACCCGUGGCGAAGGCGGCUCACUGGACCGGUUCUGACGCUGAGGCGCGAAAGCGUGGGGAGCAAACGGG
rnacentral:rRNA from 1 species